UUAAGUAAGGGUUCGUCCUGUUUUGGCCACUGGGAUGCAUAUCUCAUGGGAUUUUUAACGACGACUCCACCUAUAGUAGAUCCUUUCAAAGAUUUUGUCAUGAGUUGGCUAGCCCAUCUUUGUGACAAAACUUUGAAUUUGGCCGAUGACUCUAGGGACCUCUUCUAGAACCCGAACAUGAGACUUUAGGUAUACCCUAUCAUGAUGAAAUUUCAUAUGUGGUCCAUGACCUUGGGUUCGUUAUCAAACGACCAAAUAAAACCCUAGAACUUACCCCGUGAGGGGAUG
rnacentral:lncRNA from 1 species